AAAACCUGUUCUGGGCUGUGGUGAAAACGUCAGGCUGGAAACGUGGUCGCACAACCCGGGCAGAGGACUUCCAGUGAUCAACCUGACCUUGGGCUGGGAAGGACACUGUGCCAGAGUCAUACAAGAAACUUUAUUCUCAGUAGCUUGAAGAAAGGGUUGUAGGCAGGAGAAUUUUGACUUGCAGCAUAUUGUUUUACUCUUUUUUUUUUCUUUUUUUUUUUGCUUAGUCAAUGUAAAACACAAGCAGUAGAACCCAUUCUAUCUCAGAGAUAUGAUCACAUUACUAGCAGUACUGUUAAGGUUUCACUUGAGAGAUUUGAAGCUUAAUACAACUAUAAUCCUGUUGACCUGCAGUCAACUUCCCAUGGCAGUGAAAAACUAUAAAAAGUAAAGGUCUUUUUGGUUCAUUUAUAUACCUCAUGGAAUAUUUUCUUUUCUGA